UUUCUCUGGUUCGGCUCUCUUCUUCUCUUCACCGAAACAGGGUCUCCCCUGUUUUUCCUCAACCGAGCUCCCCCCUCUUCCCUGUCGAUGGCUUCUUCAUAUAGACCCUCUCACCCGGUGAUGGAUCCCUUGGGAGCGUGCCGGUGGGGAUGCGAAUCCGGGAUACUUGAUGGGAGGAGCCGCAGGAUCAACGUGAUGGCUGGCUCCGGAUGCAUCGCGGAAGAAGAAGCGGAGGACAGAUCGCAGAUGGAUGGCUCAAAUUCGGAAGAGGGGGACAGCUAGAUGCUUGGGCUCAUGCCUGAUCUCAUGGGAUGCUGGAAGCAUUGAUCAUGGAGGAGAUUUGGUUGCGGGAUGGCUGGGAGGAUCGCUCCGGACGACUUCUUUCUUUGGACCGUAGAAGGAAUGGAUGCGGGAUUGUCGGACGCCUGAUGCGGAAGGAUGGCUGACUCCGAGAGCGGCUGGGACGUGAUGCUGGGAGGAGCGGAAGAAGGAGGUGGCCGGAUCCAUGGCGUGAUACGCUGGGAGCAUGCGGAGCUUGUCUCGGACGCCCGGAACGGCAGCUGUGCGGAGGCGGGGAUGCAGGCGGAUGAAGAGGCGGAGGAUCUGGUCGCCGGCUGCACCGCGUGGAGGAUUGGAGCGUCGGCUGUGGUGCGUGGCUGGAAUGGGCGGGGGGGGGGGCUCUGUGAGGCGGGAUCACAGGAAGGAUAGAUAACGGGAGGAAGGAGAUAAACAGUGAAACAGUUUUAAUUAUAUUAUUUCUCACUGUUCAUAUGAACAGUAUUUUUACGGGACACUGUUCAUAUGAACAGUGAAUAAGUGAUUCUCCCCAAAAUUAUUUUUAUUUAUUUCAUUAUUUCCCUUUUUUUUGUUUUAAAUUUAUAAAUUUUAUAUGAAGGCAGGUAAGGAAUUGGUUGGAAAUUGACUUUGGGUUUGAGGUGGGUCAUGAUGGUUGACUUGUUCUUGAGCCCAUUGUCAUUUAAAUUUAAUUCUUGCUAAGCUGCUUCAGAUCGAAUUCGACCAGACAAGACUAAAAAUAGGACCGUGACCUAAUAAAAAAGGUUAAUCAAAU
rnacentral:lncRNA from 1 species